CUCGAAACAGGACUUGGGAAUGCGCUCCAUUAUGGAGGAGAACAACUACAUGGAAACAGGCUACACCACGAAGUCCGUGCCCCACAGCACCGGGGGAUACACCAAGGACUCUCCUGGCUCAGAAAAGGGUCUCAAGGGGCAGACAGGCUACCCGGUGCCUCUACAGACGGAGGCCAACCUGCGGCUGCACCUGGCCGAGCGGGAACAGGCCCUGCUGGCUUCCCAGGAGACC